rnacentral:lncRNA from 1 species
UCGGGUUUGAGAUGUCAGCUUCUUCAGCACGUCUAGGUAGUGUUCUCAGAAUCUUUGAUGCUUCUGAAUGAAUGCAUUUAAUGAGAUGUGACUUUCCAGUGCCAGCACCACCAUUGAUGUAGUAGAAAAACUGCUCUGGUUGUGGUCCACAGACUCGUUUUAUGCACCAGUCUCUUACUGCAUAGAACACACAUGCCUGUUUCUGGUUCAGACUCUGAUACAUUUGUCGUAACCGUGUGGGAUCGAUUGUAGGGGGCUCUCUCAUGACUCUGGCCUCUGUAGCAGCAUUUGCUUGUCUGCUGUAAUCCGGUACAUCCUCUUGGACAUUUUCACACUGUCUGGCAUCCAGUUCAUCGAUACACUCCAACCUCACCAGUUCAGAUUCAGGUGCCAAAUUACACCAUUCAUCGACCACACCUCUGUUCUGUUCAAAGUCCUCGAGAGCAGAGUCAAUUUCCUCACUGUUUUUUUCAUAUCUCUCUCUGUUUCUUUUCACAAUGAGUUUCACACUCAGGGGUCGGUCAGAAUACGGCAGCUGAACCACACCUCUCUCAUAGAAUGACUCAUAUGUGGGAAAAUAUGGUCUUUUCAGCUCAUCGUCUGAUCUGUAUGGAAGAUACAGUCUAAGCAAUGUGCCGUAAAACUGCUCAGGGUAUUUCUCUUUGGAUAUGCGGCGAUACCUGAUGACAGCAGCGUUGUCACUUUCUCGUCUCUGUAUAAAGCCUAGUUCAUUCAGCAGAGGUACCACUUUCUUGCCCUUGGUCUGUUGUCCAUACACCAGUCUGCAGGUAGACGCAAAAUCAGCCAUGCACAUCUCUUCAAACUCUGGUGAUUCAGGUCUGGAUUUGUACUUGUCUGUUAAGGAUGUCAUCCACACAUUCAAGCUGUCUGGUGUUGUGUUGUCAAGGCUUGACACAGGCAGACUCAUUUUCACUGGGUUGUCAUCAGUUGGGACAAAAACCACACUGCGUGAACUCUUUUUCAUGUUCAGUGAAGUCACUCGGGCAACAGCUUCUUGUGCUGAUACUUCUCGCUUUUUGGAAUACGCCUGCAUGACCGCUUUCAUUUCAUCACAUUCAUUGACACAUUCUCUGUCGGAGUUCUGAAUGAGUGUUUGCAGGUACUGGCUCACAGAGUUCUCACUUUUACACAUGUACGUACAUAUGUAAUGGAUCAGACUGUAGUAGCUGAGAAUGAACUGCACGUCAAUGUUUGCAUCCCAAGCUUUGAGCAGGUGAGGGUUGUAGGUGUUUACCCAGCAGUCUUUUGGCUCACGCUUCAGAAUGAUGUUGCUGGACUGACUCAUCACAUUCAUGUGUUUCUCAUACUCAUCAGCGGUUAAGUCACAGACAGACAGGAGCUGUUGAAAACUCAUGGAUUCAGUUUGUGUCUCAUUCAGCAGCUGAUUCAGUGGUGCAAGUUUCUCUUUGGCUCUCUUAAGUCUCUCUGACUCCUCAUCAUCACCCACAGGUCUUGUUAUCAUUGUCUGUCUGGAGGGUGGUUUUGGGAAUCCAAAUCGGCAUCCAGAACUUGCACUUUUGAAACAUGUCUUUGAGUGGUUCUUACUGUGUAUUUGCACUUCUUUGACCUUUUUGUACAGUUCAGGCUGUUUGUUUGGGUCAGGGAGCUGAGCAGAGAUGUGUUUGGACACAAAGUCACACACAGUUUUGUCAGAGUCUCUCUCAAACACAGGUGCACCUUCUACCCACAAAAGACCAUGUAUAUGAGGACUUCCUCUGUGCUGAAACUCGAGACGCCAAAAGAAGUCAAAAACUUUGCCCAGGGGUUGUGCAGGAGACAUGAUCAGAUCUCUGUACAGUGCUUCAACACGCUUAUCAAACAUGCGCAUCGUUGUCACAGGAUUGCUUCUCAGAAUGUCACACUUUGUGGACCAGUCGAGCUCUUCAAAAUUCACCUCCUCACCUUGUUGUAAUUUUAUUGCAAUAAUCACCUCAGGCCAACGCAUUUCUGCUGCAGAAAAUGUGACAAAGAAAGUAGGACUGCCCAACUGUCUGAUCAUAGCAAACAGAUCUUUUGUAGUUUUGUCCCAGUAGGCUGGUGUUCCUCUGAGCGGCUGCAUAAAUCUGAUAGCAUCUCUGUUUCUCACCAGUCUCUCCACUUCGUAUUUGUCUCUCAACAUUCUGGAUGUUAUUUUACGUCCGUCUCUGGUCAAAGGUUUGCCUUUGCGUAACUGUAUUGACAUGCUGGAGGUAGCCAAGUGUAUUUCAGUCACAAACUGUGCAAAGAACAGGUAGUUGGUAUCUUUGGCAAAGCGAUCAUCAACACCAAAGAGCCUUGCUUUAAAAUAACUACUGGGUGAUAGUUUCAUGGGUCUGUUUUCAUCCAGUGUAUUCUCACCAGUGGGAAACUGAACAGGAAACGCCAUGGCCUCUAGUUUGGGUGUUUUGAAAAAACUGACUGGAUUGUUUCUCUCUGCUGGAGCUACUGAGUAUGUAGAGUCACUGAAACACAAUAUCUCCUCAGAAACAUCCCGUGGCUGAAGGCACGACUCCAAAACAACACCACCAUUAGAUAUGUCUGCAUCCUGUUGUUGUGUCUGAUCAUCAUUGUCCUGGGUCUGACUUUUAUCACACAACUCUGUGUUCUCAUCCUCAGUUUCAACAUUAGUUUCAGCCUCAUACAUGGCAGCAGCCUCAAUUCUAUCAAUUUCCAUCAAAUCCUCAUCAUCAUAGUCGUCAUCAUUCAUUGUGUUAUCAUCAUCCUCAUCCUCAUCCUCAUCACCAUCAUCAGGAAGUGUGGGGUCACAUAACUCCUCCUCAUCUCUAAUAGUGAUGUCUUCAUACUGGGGGUGUAUCUCUUUCAGUUUAUGCAGAGCCUGCACUAGCUUGGACCAGGUAACAGUCUGAAACAGAUGGUGACCUCUGUAACUCAAGCGUCUCUUCAGUUUUACUCUCAUCACCUGAGACUCAUUUCUCAAUCUGGGUAGAGCCUGAAUUGUCUCCUGGACUUCAGAGGGAACACAUACAACAUUACCAUGUAUAGCUCUCUGUCUGCCUUUGGGAAGAGGAAUGAUUUUGGCAAAUGUUAUGCACUUUGCUAUCAGAUGUCUCUCCAGUAUGUUGAGGUCACACAGCUCAGGUGGUAUGUCAGCAAGCU